rnacentral:rRNA from 1 species
UACGGGGGGGGGGCAAGCGUUGUUCGGAAUUACUGGGCGUAAAGGGCGCGUAGGCGGCCUGGUAAGUAGGGGGUGAAAUCCUGCGGCUUAACCGCAGGGCUGCCCUUCUAAACUGUCAGGCUCGAGCACGGUAGAGGCAGAUGGAAUUCCCGGUGUAGCGGUGGAAUGCGUAGAGAUCGGGAAGAACAUCAGUGGCGAAGGCGGUCUGCUGGGCCGUUGCUGACGCUGAGGCGCGACAGCGUGGGGAGCAAACAGG